AGUCGAACGAUGAAGCCGCUUCGGUGGUGGAUUAGUGGCGAACGGGUGAGUAACACGUGGGCAAUCUGCCCUGCACUCUGGGACAAGCCCUGGAAACGGGGUCUAAUACCGGAUACGACCACCGGCCGCAUGGUCUGGUGGUGGAAAGCUCCGGCGGUGCAGGAUGAGCCCGCGGCCUAUCAGCUUGUUGGUGGGGUGAAGGCCUACCAAGGCGACGACGGGUAGCCGGCCUGAGAGGGCGACCGGCCACACUGGGACUGAGACACGGCCCAGACUCCUACGGGAGGCAGCAGUGGGGAAUAUUGCACAAUGGGCGCAAGCCUGAUGCAGCGACGCCGCGUGAGGGAUGACGGCCUUCGGGUUGUAAACCUCUUUCAGCAGGGAAGAAGCCUUUAAAGUGACGGUACCUGCAGAAGAAGCACCGGCUAACUACGUGCCAGCAGCCGCGGUAAUACGUAGGGUGCGAGCGUUGUCCGGAAUUAUUGGGCGUAAAGAGCUCGUAGGCGGCCUGUCACGUCGGAUGUGAAAGCCCGGGGCUUAACCCCGGGUCUGCAUUCGAUACGGGCAGGCUAGAGUUCGGUAGGGGAGAUCGGAAU
rnacentral:rRNA from 1 species